rnacentral:rRNA from 1 species
CCUGAGAAACCCAAAAGAUCGAAUGGGGAGAUUCAUCGUCAGCGGCGUUGGCUUCCGUGCGGCUCGCGAUGGUCGGGGCUUCGGUCUCGCGCCACGCGGUCGCCGCGGUAUGUCCGGCGUCGUCGGCGUGCACUUCUCCCCUAGUAGGACGUCGCGACCCGUUGGGUGUCGGACCAAUGGCCGGUCGGUCGUCUGUUUUCGCCUUUACCGGCGUUGGCAGACCGAUCGGUUUAACGUCCGACUGCCCGGCGGUAUAGAACGCUUAAUCACGGUAUUGGGCCGCAACUCGAAUGCGUUCCUGGCUCGUCGGCAGGCUCGUCUCGCUCGGAUUUACGGACCUAGCGCCGUUGCCGGGCGCUUGGCGCGGCUGUUAGUCGACGAUGUCCUCGGACUGGCUCUUACCCGUCUGCGACGCUACUGCUUUGGGUACUUUC